rnacentral:rRNA from 1 species
GACGAACGCUGGCGGCGUGCUUAACACAUGCAAGUCGAGCGAAGCGGCGGACGGGUGAGUAACACGUGAGUAACCGGACUUAGACAGUGGGAUAGCCUCGGGAAACCGGGAUUAAUACCGAAUAGUCUAAGAUGGACUCGCGGCCCAUUAGCUAGUUGGUGAGGUAACGGCCAACCAAGGGGACGAUGGGUAGCCGGCCUGAGAGGGUGAACGGCCACAGUGGAACUGAGUAACGGUCCAAGCUCUGCGGGUGGCAGCAGUGGGGAAUAGUGCACAAGGGAGGAAACUCUGAUGCGGAGACGCCGCGUGAACGAAGAAGGCUUUCGAGUCGUCAAGUUCUGUUAUAUGGGAAGCGGUACCAUAAGAAAAAGCCCCGGCUAACUACGUGCCAGCAGCCGCGGUAAUUC